UACGUAGGGUGCGAGCGUUAAUCGGAAUUACUGGGCGUAAAGAGCGUGUAGGCGGUUCGUUAAGUCUGCUGUGAAAUCUCCAGGCUCAACUUGGAGUAGUCGGUGGAAACUAGCGAACUUGAGGACGGUAGAGGGGGGUGGAAUUCCCGGUGUAGUGGUGAAAUGCGUAGAGAUCGGGAGGAACACCAGCGGCGAAGGCGGCCCCCUGGGCCGCUCCUGACGCUGAGACGCGAAGGCCAGGGUAGCGAACGGG
rnacentral:rRNA from 1 species